UUAGAGUUUGAUCAUGGCUCAGAACGUACGCUGGCGGCACGCCUAGCACAUGCAAGUCGAACGAAGUAGCAAUACUUAGUGGCAGACGGGUGAGUAACAUGUAGGUAUCUACCCUUUGGCCUGGAAUAACACGAGGAAACUUGUGCUAAUACCGGAUAAGUCUUUACGGAGAAAGCUUUAUGCACCAUUGGAUGAGCCUGCACUUGAUUAGUUUGUUGGUGGGGUAAUGGCCUACCAAGACUUUGAUCAAUAGCUGAUUUGAGAGGAUGAUCAGCCACAUUGGGACUGAGACACGGCCCAAACUCCUACGGGAGGCAGCAGUGGGGAAUCUUGCACAAUGGAGGAAACUCUGAUGCAGCGAUGCCGCGUGAGUGAAGAAGGCCCUUGGGUUGUAAAGCUCUUUCGUCGGGGAAGAAAAUGACUGUACCCGAAUAAGAAGGUCCGGCUAACUUCGUGCCAGCAGCCGCGGUAAUACGAAGGGACCUAGCGUAGUUCGGAAUUACUGGGCUUAAAGAGUUCGUAGGUGGUUGAAAAAGUUGGUGGUGAAAUCCCAGAGCUUAACUCUGGAACUGCCAUCAAAACUUUUCAGCUAGAGUUUGAUAGAGGAAAGCAGAAUUUCUAGUGUAGAGGUGAAAUUCGUAGAUAUUAGAAAGAAUACCAAUUGCGAAGGCAGCUUUCUGGAUCAUUACUGACACUGAGGAACGAAAGCAUGGGUAGCGAAGAGGAUUAGAUACCCUCGUAGUCCAUGCCGUAAACGAUGUGUGUUAGACGUUGGAAAUUUAUUUUCAGUGUCGCAGCGAAAGCGAUAAACACACUGCCUGGGGAGUACGACCGCAAGGUUAAAACUCAAAUGAAUUGACGGGGACCCGCACAAGUAGUGGAGCAUGUGGUUUAAUUCGAAGAUACGCGCAGAACCUUACCAACACUUGACAUGUUCGUCGCGACUUUAAGAGAUUAAAGUUUUCGGUUCGGCCGGACGAAACACAGGUGCUGCAUGGCUGUCGUCAGCUCGUGUCGUGAGAUGUUGGGUUAAGUCCCGCAACGAGCGCAACCCUCACUUUUAGUUGCCAUCAUUUAGUUGGGCACUCUGAAAGAACUGCCAGUGAUAAGCUGGAGGAAGGUGGGGAUGACGUCAAGUCCUCAUGGCCCUUACGUGUUGGGCUACACACGUGCUACAAUGGUAUUUACAACAGGAAGCAAGACGGCGACGUUAAGCAAAUCCUUAAAAAAUACCUCAGUUCGGAUUGCACUCUGCAACUCGAGUGCAUGAAGCUGGAAUUACUAGUAAUCGUGGAUCAGCGUGCCACGGUGAAUGCGUUCCC
rnacentral:rRNA from 1 species